rnacentral:rRNA from 1 species
UUAUGGCUCAGGAUGAACGCUGGCGGCGUGCUAGCACAUGCAAGUCGAACGAAGCAUUGAGCGGAAGCCUUCGGGCCGAAGCUUUAUGACUGAGUGGCGGACGGGUGAGUAACGCGUGGGUAACCUGCCUCAUACAGGGGGAUAACAGUUGGAAACGACUGCUAAUACCGCAUAAGCCUACAGUAUCGCAUGGUACAGGAAGGUAAAAAAUUUAUUGGUAUGAGAUGGACCCGCGUCUGAUUAGUUAGUUGGUAGGGUAACGGCCUACCAAGGCGAUGAUCAGUAGCCGGCUUGAGAGAGUGGACGGCCACAUUGGGACUGAGACACGGCCCAAACUCCUACGGGAGGCAGCAGUGGGGAAUAUUGCACAAUGGGGGAAACCCUGAUGCAGCCGACGCCGCGUGAGUGAAGAAGUAUUUCGGUAUGUAAAGCUCUAUCAGCAGGGAAGAUAAUGACGGUACCUGACUAAGAAGCCCCGGCUAACUACGUGCCAGCCGCUGC